GGAAAACCUUAUCAUGGCUAAU
rnacentral:miRNA from 1 species